rnacentral:rRNA from 1 species
UACGUAGGUGGCAAGCGUUGUCCGGAUUUAUUGGGCGUAAAGCGCGCGCAGGUGGUGCGGUAAGUCUGCCGUGAAAUCUCCCGGCUCAACUGGGAGGGGGCGGUGGAGACUGCCGGACUGUAGGACUCAGAGGCCGGUGGAAUUCCCGGUGUAGUGGUGAAAUGCGUAGAGAUCGGGAGGAACACCAGUGGCGAAGGCGGCCGGGCUGGGGGUGCCCUGACGCUGAGGCGGCGAAAGCGUGGGGAGCGAACCGGG